rnacentral:rRNA from 1 species
UUGGAGGGCAAGUCUGGUGCCAGCAGCCGCGGUAAUUCCAGCUCCAAUAGCGUAUAUUAAAGUUGUUGCAGUUAAAAAGCUCGUAGUUGAAUUUCGGGAUCAAUAUGCCGGUCAUGCCUUGGUAUGCACUGGUAUCUUUGAUUUCUCCCUUCUGACGAACUUUGAUGUCAUUAAUUUGGUGUCAUAGGGAAUCAGGACUGUUACUUUGAAAAAAUUAGAGUGUUUAAAGCAAGCUCACGCUUGAAUACAUUAGCAUGGAAUAAUGAAAUAGGACGUUUGAUUCUAUUUUGUUGGUUUCUAGGAUCGACGUAAUGAUUAAUAGGGAUAGUUGGGGGCAUUAGUAUUCAAUUGUCAGAGGUGAAAUUCUUGGAUUUAUUGAAGACUAACUACUGCGAAAGCAUUUGCCAAGGAUGUUUUCAUUAAUCAAGAACGAAAGUUAGGGGAUCGAAGACGAUCAGAUACCGUCGUAGUCUUAACCAUAAACUAUGCCGACUAGGGAUCGGAUGAUGUUAAUUUUUUAAUGGCUCAUUCGGCACCUUACGGGAAAC